rnacentral:tRNA from 1 species
UCGGAAAUGGCUCAAUGGUUAAGAGCACUGACUGCUCUUCCAGAGGUCCUGAGUUCAAUUCCCAGCAACCACA